AAUGAACGCUGGCGGCGUGCUUAACACAUGCAAGUCGUACGAGAAAUCUUCAGCUUGCUGAAGAGAGUAAAGUGGCGCACGGGUGAGUAACGCGUGGAUAAUCUAUCCUUGAAUCGGGGAUAACGUUGCGAAAGCGACGCUAAUACCGGAUGACAUCAUAAAGGCUUUGGCCUUAAUGAUCAAAGAUGACCUCUACCUGUAAGUUGUUGUUUGAGGAGGAGUCCGCGUACCAUUAGCUUGUUGGUAGGGUAACGGCCUACCAAGGCCACGAUGGUUAGCUGGUCUGAGAGGAUGAUCAGCCACACUGGAACUGACACACGGUCCAG
rnacentral:rRNA from 1 species